rnacentral:rRNA from 1 species
GUGACGAAGCGACGCCGCGUGUGGGAAGAAGGCCUUCGGGUUGUAAACCACUGUCGGGAGUUAGGAAAUGUAAGGGUGCUAAUAGUAUCCUUACUUGACUAAGGCUCCGGAGGAAGCCACGGCUAACUCUGUGCCAGCAGCCGCGGUAAUACAGAGGCGGCAAGCGUUGUUCGGAAUUAUUGGGCGUAAAGAGCACGUAGGCGGCCUUGUAAGUCAGUUGUGAAAGCCUUCUGCUUAACGGAAGAACAGCAGCUGAUACUGCAAGGCUAGAGUGCGGAAGGGGAGAGUGGAACUUCUGGUGGAGCGGUGAAAUGCGUAGAUAUCAGAAGGAACACCAGCGGCGAAGGCGACUCUCUGGUCCGUAACUGACGCUGAGUGUGCGAAAGCUAGGGGAGCAAACGGGAUUAGAUACCCCGGUAGUCCUAGCCGUAAACGAU